AGAGUUUGAUCCUGGCUCAGAACGAACGUUAGCGGCGCGCCUAACACAUGCAAGUCGCACGAGAAAGGGCUUCGGCCCCGGUACAGUGGCGCACGGGUGAGUAACACGUGGGUAACGUUCCUUCAGGCGGGGGAUAACCUUCCGAAAGGAGGGCUAAUACCGCAUAACAUCUCGGUUUCGAAAGAUGCCGAGGUUAAAGC
rnacentral:rRNA from 1 species